GACGAACGCUGGCGGCGUGCCUAAUACAUGCAAGUCGAGCGGACGAAUCGAAAGCUUGCUUUUGAUUCGUUAGCGGCGGACGGGUGAGUAACACGUGGGCAACCCGCUCUGUAGACGGGGAUAACACCGAGAAAUCGGUGCCAAUACCGGAUAACACGAAAUGUCGCAUGACGUUUCGUUGAAAGACGGCGCAAGCUGUCGCUACAGGAUGGGCCCGCGGCGCAUUAGCUAGUUGGUGAGGUAACGGCUCACCAAGGCGACGAUGCGUAGCCGACCUGAGAGGGUGAUCAGCCACACUGGGACUGAGACACGGCCCAGACUCCUACGGGAGGCAGCAGUAGGGAAUCUUCCGCAAUGGACGAAAGUCUGACGGAGCAACGCCGCGUGAGCGAAGAAGGCCUUCGGGUCGUAAAGCUCUGUUGUUAGGGAAGAACAAGUAACGCAGUAACUGGCGUUACCGUGACGGUACCUAACGAGAAAGCCACGGCUAACUACGUG
rnacentral:rRNA from 1 species